AGAGUUUGAUCCUGGCUCAGGAUGAACGCUGACAGAAUGCUUAACACAUGCAAGUCUACUUGAUCCUUCGGGUGAUGGUGGCGGACGGGUGAGUAACGCGUAAAGAACUUGCCCUGCAGUUCGGGACAACAUCUGGAAACGGAUGCUAAUACCGGGUAUUAUACUUUAGUCGCAUGACUUUUGUAUGAAAGCUAUAUGCGCUGCAGGAGAGCUUUGCGUCCUAUUAGCUUGUUGGUGAGGUAACGGCUCACCAAGGCGAUGAUAGGUAGCCGGCCUGAGAGGGUGAACGGCCACAAGGGGACUGAGACACGGCCCUUACUCCUACGGGAGGCAGCAGUGGGGAAUAUUGGACAAUGGACCAAAAGUCUGAUCCAGCAAUUCUGUGUGCACGAUGAAGUUUUUCGGAAUGUAAAGUGCUUUCAGUUGGGACGAAGAACGUGACGGUACCAACAGAAGAAGCGACGGCUAAAUACGUGCCAGCAGCCGCGGUAAUACGUAUGUCGCAAGCGUUAUCCGGAUUUAUUGGGCGUAAAGCGCGUCUAGGUGGUUUGGUAAGUCUGAUGUGAAAAUGCGGGGCUCAACUCCGUAUUGCGUUGGAAACUGUCAAACUAGAGUACUGGAGAGGUGGGCGGAACUACAAGUGUAGAGGUGAAAUUCGUAGAUAUUUGUAGGAAUGCCGAUGGAGAAGUCAGCCCACUGGACAGAUACUGACGCUGAAGCGCGAAAGCGUGGGUAGCAAACAGGAUUAGAUACCCUGGUAGUCCACGCUGUAAACGAUGGGUGCUGGGUGCUGGGAUGUAUGUCUCGGUGCCGUAGCUAACGCGAUAAGCACCCCGCCUGGGGAGUACGGUCGCAAGGCUGAAACUCAAAGAAAUUGACGGGGGCCCGCACAAGCGGUGGAGUAUGUGGUUUAAUUCGAUGCAACGCGAAGAACCUUACCCAGGCUUGACAUCUAGGGAACCCUUCGGAAAUGAAGGGGUGCCCUUCGGGGAGCCCUAAGACAGGUGCUGCAUGGCUGUCGUCAGCUCGUGCCGUGAGGUGUUGGGUUAAGUCCCGCAACGAGCGCAACCCCUAUCUUCAGUUGCCAGCAGGUAAGGCUGGGCACUCUGGAGAGACCGCCCCGGUCAACGGGGAGGAAGGUGGGGACGACGUCAAGUCAUCAUGGCCCUUACGCCUGGGGCUACACACGUACUACAAUGGCGCGCACAAAGGGUAGCGAGACCGCGAGGUGGAGCCAAUCCCAAAAAACGCGUCCCAGUCCGGAUUGGAGUCUGCAACUCGACUCCAUGAAGUCGGAAUCGCUAGUAAUUCGAGAUCAGCAUGCUCGGGUGAAUGCGUUCCCGGGCCUUGUACACACCGCCCGUCACACCACGAAAGUCGGUUUUACCCGAAGCCGGUGAGCUAACUCGCAAGAGAAGCAGCCGUCUACGGUAGGGCCGAUGAUUGGGGUGAAGUCGUAACAAGGUAGCCGUAGGAGAACCUGCGGCUG
rnacentral:rRNA from 1 species